rnacentral:lncRNA from 1 species
UUCAAUAUAACAAAUUACAAACAAGCCAAAGGACGAACCUUCGACUCUGAUACCACUUGUUGGGGAAACCGGGUAUUUUCCCAACAGAAAUCAGGUUCUUGAGGGCAGUCUGAUGAAACUUUGGCAUUUACUUUCCUUUGUCUAAAAUACCAGACUACAAAAUCAAGACUGAGAUUUAUCGUUGAUAUCGCCCUGGGAAAAAACAGGCAUGAAGAGAUAAGACAACAUUAAACGGAGAAAGAGCAGAUUUUGCUAUUAUUUCAGAUAUGGGGCCACACUGAUUAUUAACAGGUAGGAUUGUUGUUUUAGUUGUCUGUAUCUCAAUUACUAUCAUUAACCGUUGUCUGCUUUAUCAGACUUUGAGAUUAUAUUGAAGUGCU